rnacentral:rRNA from 1 species
UACGUAGGGGGCUAGCGUUGUCCGGAUUUAUUGGGCGUAAAGAGCGUGUAGGCGGCCAGGUAGGUCUGCUGUGAAAACUCGAGGCUCAACCUCGAGACGUCGGCGGAAACUAUCUGGCUAGAGUCCGGAAGAGGAGAGUGGAAUUCCUGGUGUAGCGGUGAAAUGCGCAGAUAUCAGGAGGAACACCGGUGGCGAAGGCGGGUCUCUGGGCCGAUACUGACGCUGAGGAGCGAAAGCGUGGGGAGCGAACAGG